rnacentral:rRNA from 1 species
GACGAACGCUGGCGGCGUGCUUAACACAUGCAAGUCGAACGGAAAGGCCCUGCUUUUGUGGGGUGCUCGAGUGGCGAACGGGUGAGUAACGCGUGAGUAACCUGCCCUUGACUUUGGGAUAACUUCAGGAAACUGGGGCUAAUACCGGAUAGGAGCUCCUGCUGCAUGGUGGGGGUUGGAAAGUUUCGGCGGUUGGGGAUGGACUCGCGGCUUAUCAGCUUGUUGGUGGGGUAGUGGCUUACCAAGGCUUUGACGGGUAGCCGGCCUGAGAGGGUGACCGGCCACAUUGGGACUGAGAUACGGCCCAGACUCCUACGGUAGGCAGCAGUGGGGAAUAUUGCACAAUGGGCGGAAGCCUGAUGCAGCAACGCCGCGUGCGUGAUGACGGCCUUCGGGUUGUAAACCGCUUUCGCCUGUGACGAAGCGUGAGUGACGGUAAUGGGUAAAGAAGCACCGGCUAACUACGUG